rnacentral:sRNA from 1 species
GGAUGUGAGGGCAAUCUGGCUGCGACAUCUGUCACCCCAUUGCUCUCCAGGGUUGAUUCAGCUGAUCUGGCUGGCUAGGCAGGUGUCCCCUUCCUCCCUCACCGCUCCAUGUGAAUCCCUCCCGAAGCUGCAUGCUCUGUCGAGGAGGACGACCAUCCCCCGAUAGAGGAGGACCAGUCUUCGGUCAAGGGUACAUGAGUAGCUGUACUCCCCUGCUAGAAAAAUAAGGCUCUAAGCUGUCCUGCCUUGCCCCUAAGGCUGCUAUGAUGAUCUAAUGGGAAUAAGAGCUCUACUCCCUUA